rnacentral:lncRNA from 1 species
GUGGGUCCGGGGCACGUGGGGCUCUGGUACCUGUCCUGGGCACAGCAGGAGGAGGAGAGCCCCACGGAGCCAUCUGCGUGGGGGUGGUGGUGGCCCCCAGGGCAGGCAGUGAUGGCAGUGAGGGUUCCUCAUGUGCCGAGCCCCCUCUUGCCUCCCACAGCAUCCCUCCUGCGCGUGCCCUGCGAGCUGGUGCUGGACAUGGGGUUUGUCCCUGCCCUGCAGGACCCCGCAUCCCGCGAGCGCCGUGGUCUGCUGCACAGCUUCAACAGAACGGUGAGCCUGGGGCUGGGGCUUUUGGGGGGGCUGUGGUGGGGGGGGACAACGGGCUGCAUCCCACCCAGCUUCCUCCCCGCACAGGUCGCGCCCCUGUUCAUGUCGGUGCCCGGCUUCCUGCGGCUGGAGGUGACGGGGAUCAGGGAGGGCAGCGUGGUGCUGGAGUACGAUGCGCUGUUUGCAGCAGAGCGGGUGCGGGCGCCGGGGCUGGGAGCGCUCCUCGAGUCUGCGCUGGGCCCUGGUGGCACCCGGCCGGGGCUGGCGGUGGGCGCUGCCCCCGUCCUGCGCAACGUGGCCCUGGAGCGGCCGCUGGACCCCUGUGCUGAGCUCUUCGCCUGCCGGGCCGGCUUCGCCUGCGUGGCUGGGGCAGACGGGAACGCCACCUGCACGUCCCUCUGCCACCGCGACUACUGCAAGAACCACGGCAUCUGCACACACCCCCGGGACCGGGGGCCGCUCUGCCAGUGAGUGCUGGGGGUGGAAGGGACCGGGCCGUGCACCCACCCCCGGGCUGGGGGUGCCUGUGGCUGAUGCCCCCCCCUUGCUGCAGGUGUCCCGUUGGCAGCGAUUUCUGGUUCAUGGGGCUGCGCUGCGACUACCGGGUGACACAGCAGAGCCUGCUGGGC